ensembl:lncRNA
CUCAUUCUCUCCUCAUCCCUCCAUUCAUCCUUCUCCCUUCUAAUUCCAGUAAUCUCUUUCUCUUCUUCCCUUCUCAUUGCCCUCAGCACUGUCUGUCUCUCUUCUUUCCAUCUCUUUGACUGACUUUGACAAAGUUUGAAGCAUGGGCUGUGGGAAUUCCACCUCUGCUAGCACAGCUGCAGGUCCAUCUGAGUCAGCUAAAGAUGUGCUCUGACUUCAGAGAGAGAGAGAGAAUGAGAUAAACAGGAAGGAAGAUGCUAGUGAUCCUUGCAGUGUCCUUCAGUUUUUGCAACUGCUUGUCAAUCAAUUUCCCUUCUGAGAAAAAAACAUAGUGGGGUUUUGAACACUGCCUGUCAUUUUCCAAACAGUUCCUGGAAUUAUUCUCUCAAAUCUGAACAACAAGCACCCACACAGCAGGAGAGAUUUUUGCGCGCACAUAUCUGGGCCUUCACUGCCACAAACACACACACACACACACAGACACACACACUCACCACAAUAGCACACUAUCACUGAUACAUCAUACAUGUUUACAAGUCUCUUUUAAAAACAAUGUGAGAUUUUCAAUACUGUUAAGACAAUAGCAGCUCUGCUAAUGCAAUUCUCAGAGCUUCUAAUCAAGGUUCUCUGUAGGAUAAUCUCUUCAAAAACUUGAUGCAUGAACCUUCAAGACUUAAUGAAUCAAACAAUUAGCAAGAUAUGAUGGUCCAAAUUUGUUCACUCAAAUGUAAUCAUUCAUUCUAUACCCUGAAGCCCAUCGGAUCAUCUCUUGGUUCUGUUCUGGUUCUGGGCCCACAGGCAAGACGAUUCAUCUGUGGAUGAUGAGAAGAGGAGGAAUUAUGGUGGAGUGUAUGUGGGCUUACCUGCAGACCUCAGCAAUGUGGCCACUGGACAAACACCCUCCACACACAAAGAAUAAUGAUAUUCAGAGCUGAAGGCACAGAUAAAGGGCUUUCCAGAGGGAAUCUUAGCUGAAAAUUGCUGCGUAAUAUUCUCAACAGGACGCAAUUUUCGUCAUCGUUGAUUGGCUUGUUGGGACUCGCCGGAAUCCUCUGAGAGCCAAUCAUCUAAUUGAACUCUCUGGAAACUGAGCUGGAAUAAGUUCAGCUGACAAGGUCAGAGGUCAAAGACAAAUCUGAGUUUGUUAGCAUCACUCAGCGCUUUUAAGGGCAAGUUCUACCAGCACCUUGCUUCUCAGGACAAUGACACACAGGUGUUAAUGACAAUCACAGAGCAAUGAAGAUGCUAAAAAUGUGUCUCUGAGCUCAAACCUGUUCCCUCACGAUAUUGCUCGGAGGUUUCAUAAGGGUCAAGUGGUUUUCAAGAGGGAAAUGGGACUCUCAAGGCACUAUGUAUGCACUCACGAGUCUGUGUUUUUGUUCUUUCACUCUUUCAACAUGAUACACAUCCUUUCAGACAUUCUCCUUUAGUCUUAAGAAAAAAAUCCAUUUUGUAAGAGUAAUGUUUGCAAGAUGGCUAAAGAGGUACAUGAAGUGUCUUCGAAGGAGCUUGUUGCUGGUCUGUCAGGUGAGUCUUCUUAGUGCUUCUUCAAGCCCUGCACUGUCUUCUGGAGGUGAAAUCAAGGGUUAUGUGUUUGUGAUUGGGUUUAAGGUCCCUCCAUCUCGCUAAUCCAAUUAGAGUGACCCAGUGAGAGCCGAGUUUUACAGCGAGUGUAUCUGUGCUAGCAGCGCCUGACCUGAGAGAACUCAGAGGACAGUGUAAGUAGGCCAGCUGGAACUCACGCUCCUGUGACACAGGGAGAAGAGAUGAGGAGAGAAAAACAGAGAGUGAUAGAAAGACAGAGAGCACUUGAGCCAGACUGUGUCACAGCGGGUGCUGAAUGAGACACCGAUUCCUGAGGGAUGGCAGGAUGUGAGCCGACACUGUGACACGGGUUCUAGCUGAACUCCCAUGAAAUCACUUUCCUCACUCCUUAAAGAGACCCAGAAAGAAAUGUGGUUGUUAUAUAUUGUUCCAAAACUGUAUACUUUUUAUUUUCUUUUGUGUGACACAAAAGGAAGAAUUUUGAAGGAUGC